rnacentral:rRNA from 1 species
GAUGAACGCUGGCGGCGUGCCUAAUACAUGCAAGUCGAGCGAACGGACGAUAAGCUUGCUUCUCUGAUGUUAGCGGCGGACGGGUGAGUAACACGUGGAUAACCUACCUAUAAGACUGGGAUAACUUCGGGAAACCGGCGCUAAUACCGGAUAAUAUUUUGAACCGCAUGGUUCAAUAGUGAAAGACGGUCUUGCUGUCACUUAUAGCUGGAUCCGCGCUGCAUUAGCUAGUUGGUAAGGUAACGGCUUACCAAGGCAACGAUGCAUAGCCGACCUGAGAGGGUGAUCGGCCACACUGGAACUGAGACACGGUCCAGACUCCUACGGGAGGCAGCAGUAGGGAAUCUUCCGCAAUGGGCGAAAGCCUGACGGAGCAACGCCGCGUGAGUGAUGAAGGUCUUCGGAUCGUAAAACUCUGUUAUUAGGGAAGAACAUAUGUGUAAGUAACUGUGCACAUCUUGACGGUACCUAAUCAGAAAGCCACGGCUAACUACGUG